AGAAGGAAUGGAAUCCUUUGAGUGAGCUGCCUACUGAGGCUAAGCAAAAUGCCAAGCUCCCAGUACAGCGAGAGACCCUGAGCCAAUGUGCAAGGAAAUGGAGCCAGAAUCCACAGAUGUCAUUAUCCAUCUGCACACGUUUGUUUACCACCCAGAAGGCAAGAUUGCAUUUUAAAGUCUUGGAUGGUUAUUCUUUUUCAUCACGAGUGACUCCAGAAGCCCUGACCAUUCACAGUGACCCUGGCUGAAA
rnacentral:lncRNA from 1 species